rnacentral:rRNA from 1 species
GACGAACGCUGGCGGCGUGCUUAACACAUGCGAGUCGUACGGUAAGGCCCUUUCGGGGGUACACGAGUGGCGAACGGGUGAGUAACACGUGAGUAACCUGCCCACAACUUUGGGAUAACGCUAGGAAACUGGUGCUAAUACUGGAUAUGUGCUCCUGCUGCUUGGUGGGGGUUGGAAAGCUCCGGCGGUUGUGGAUGGACUCGCGGCCUAUCAGCUUGUUGGUGGGGUAGUGGCCUACCAAGGCGGCGACGGGUAGCCGGCCUGAGAGGGUGACCGGCCACAUUGGGACUGAGAUACGGCCCAGACUCCUACGGGAGGCAGCAGUGGGGAAUAUUGCACAAUGGGCGCAAGCCUGAUGCAGCAACGCCGCGUGCGGGAUGACGGCCUUCGGGUUGUAAACCGCUUUCAGCAGGGACGAAGCUUUUUGUGACGGUACCUGCAGAAGAAGCACCGGCUAACUACGUG